rnacentral:ribozyme from 1 species
UGCCCAUCACUCCUAUCCCUACCUCCGCGUGGCACCGGCCGGGCUGCGAGCAAACUUAGGGUAACCAACCCCGGUGAACUUUGGUCGUAGGCUGACAGGGAAGG